CGCGAGAGAGCAAUUUUGUAGUCUCGGGAACAAAUGAGACAGACACCUCAGUUCACAGAAAUCACAGCAAAUUAUAUAUUUGUUUAAAGCAAAUCACCUCGAGGCAUAAAAGUGUUUGAAAAAAUGCUAAGACCCAUUAAUUAAGUUGAAUCCCAUAGAAGCUUUUCAAGUACAUCGUUCAUCCUACGGCCCUGGUUCGGAGGUAAGGAACAACCUGACGGAUGCUUAUUUGGUCUGAUUGUGUGUAUAUUGUAUGAGUGACUAAAGCUGAAUAGCUGUGUGUCCUUGGGUGUUAUUGUGGCUAAACAGGUAUGCGAUUACCCAACGCUCUCCAAUUUCAUUAUGGGCGGAUAGGCAAACACACUGGUGUAACCUGAUUAAAAAGCAGUUGGCAUUAUAAAACUCAGAAUGUCCAAAGUCACAAUGACACGGCGUUUUACAGCAUCUUCCCCACCUUCAGUUGAUGUGAUGCAUUUCCUGUUUAACCCUGAUCUUAGGGUGGGACAUUACACAAGAAAGUAUUCCAAAGCAUAAAACACUAACAUAUCAGAAGGUUUAUUUGAUGGUAGGGCAGAGAUAAAAAAAAUGUUUGGAAUCUUUGGACACCAACUGUUGCACAAUGAAGUUAGCACUAACCCAUUUUGAAUUAGUUUUAAGUUUUAAGUAGACCAAACAAAUUCUACACUGAAAAGGACAUUUCUCUAGGAACACCUAACUUAAACAAAACAGUCUUAAACAUUACCCUAAUCAAAUAUUUUUUGUAAUGUGCUGUCUUUUUUUUGCCAUUGAAUUGUUAUACUGAGAGGUGUUUUCUAACACAGACUAACUGUUAACUAUUGCUAGACUGUAUACGUUUAAGCUUCGCGUACAUAAUAAACUGCCAUUGCAACUUUCAUAUUUGUUAUGAAUAAGCUACAACAGUCCACACAUAAUUGCAAUGCACUUUGGGAAGGUUUCAAAACAUACACAACUGAAUUUCAAAAUU